CCUGGAGGAGGAAUAACUGAUGAAAUUUCUUAAAUAUGAAACCAGUGACUGAAUUCAGGGGUUUAGCAAGGGGUUGAUACAUACUCUUUCUCCGAUUGCCACUCCUUCUUUAUAUGCUACAAUCAAAGUCAGCAUCAGAUAUAGCAUCCUGCAUUAUGAACUUUCGAAUCCGAGUCCUGUCAUUUCGAGCAUAUAGUGUGGUGUAGUGGUUUAUGCCAACAAAGUCCACGGAUCCAACCAGGAAUUUUGAGAUUGCCUGUGAAAUCUCUGAAAUUACCAUCCUAAUGAGAAGUCGAUUGCUCUAUGUGCUGCAUCUAUGUCCUCAUCAUUAUCAGAUACAGGGUACCUUGAAAAAUUGCCGGUAACUAUGAUAAGCAGCCACAUGAGAGAGAAGGAUGUUGUGAGCAACAAUGUAUGGCUCUGCAGAUGAAUUUCCUUUCUUACAAAACAAAUGACC